UUCACAGAGAGACUGCCCUUGUGGACUCUGCUCAGGUGUUCUUCCUCUAUGUGGCUCCUCCUCUGUUAUGGACUGCCUUUGUGAGUGGCUAUAUUCUCCACUGUGGUUUAACUCUUUGUGGAGCUCUUCUCCUGUGGACUGAACCUUGGACCCUAAAGUUAUCAUCGCCGCCAUACAUGAAGAAAUAAGAAAUAUGGCCACGGAGAUGAAGUCCGAAUUGGGUAACUUUCGAAAACAGAAUCAGAGAAGAUUUGAGAAAGGAGCUAACUGACAUACGAGAGGAAAUUCAACAGAAGCUAGGCGAAGUGGUAGCCGACCUCUAAGCUACAACUGACAGGGUGGGUGAAGCAGAUACGCGCAUAGCCGACCUAGAAGAGUGGAACGCUGACUUCAAGGAGGUGCUGAGUAGCUCCCUACAAACUCAGGAACGUUUACAGAUGAAGCUUACAGACAUGGAAGCACGCUCGAGGCGAAAUAAUCUUCGCAAUUAUGGCAUCCCAGAGGGGACUGAGGGAAACAAUAUUCAGCAGUUUAUUGAUAAUUUCAUUAGAAAGGAGUUGGAGCCCCUCGCCAAAGCUGAACUUGGCAUACAGAGAUGCCAUAGAGCGCUCAGCCCCAGGCCACCGAAUGAUGCGCAGCCCAGGUCAGUGAUUGCAUACUUCCAGGAGUUUAAGACUAAAGAACUGGUGUUACACUCUGCAUGGAAGAAGAAGGAGAUCUAUCACACUGACAGGAGGAUCUACUUCGACCCACGACUACCCCGCUGAAACUUUGGCAAAGAGGAAGGAGUAUGCGCAAACAAGGAGAAUUAUUUGUGAAAAAGGAAUACGAUUCCAAACACCACCGCCAACCAACCUACGAGUCUUCUAUGACGGUGGGCCGAUAACCUACAGGAGCGCGGCAGAUGGGGUACGGGAUUUAAAGACCAGGGGAAUCUCUGUCGAGUUGGAGAAGUCGGCUGAUGAGUUUGGGAUCCCGGAGAAGAUAAGGAGGACCUGGCAGCGAGCAGGGACUCCACCCAGCCGAGAGACCCGCCAAGAGUGGAUUAAGGAGAAGCUGCAAGGUUUUCACCGGCCAAGAUAAAGAUACAGGGGGAACGGGAUGUAACAGACUGACACACGCCUAUUCAUAUUAAACGGCAAAGAAUCGGCUCCGCCCAGGUUGUGUUCCCCCUGAUUGCCAGAUGAGUUGCACCUGGCCAGGUGAUCAAGCAGCAGAUAAAGACUCCAGUUCACUGCUGCAGAGAAGAGGCUUCUAACUAGGGGACUGCUGGUCUUGCUGCC